ACUCCUACGGGAGGCAGCAGUGGGGAAUAUUGCACAAUGGGCGCAAGCCUGAUGCAGCCAUGCCGCGUGUAUGAAGAAGGCCUUCGGGUUGUAAAGUACUUUCAGCAGUGAGGAAGGUGGAUAUGUUAAUAGCAUAUUCAUUUGACGUUAGCUGCAGAAGAAGCACCGGCUAACUCCGUGCCAGCAGCCGCGGUAAUACGGAGGGUGCGAGCGUUAAUCGGAAUUACUGGGCGUAAAGCGCAUGCAGGUGGUUUGUUAAGUCAGAUGUGAAAGCCCGGGGCUCAACCUCGGAAUUGCAUUUGAAACUGGCAAACUAGAGUACUGUAGAGGGGGGUAGAAUUUCAGGUGUAGCGGUGAAAUGCGUAGAGAUCUGAAGGAAUACCGGUGGCGAAAGGCGGCCCCCUGGACAGAUACUGACACUCAGGAUGCGAAAGCGUGGGGAGCAAACAGGAUUAGAUACCCUGGAUAGGCGUAG
rnacentral:rRNA from 1 species